GAUGAACGCUAGCUACAGGCUUAACACAUGCAAGUCGAGGGGAAACGAUAGAGAAAGCUUGCUUUUUCUAGGCGUCGACCGGCGCACGGGUGAGUAACGCGUAUCCAACCUGCCCACCACUUGGGGAUAACCCUUGCGAAAGUAAGACUAAUACCCAAUGACGUCUCUAGAAGACAUCUGAAAGGGAUUAAACGAUUUAUCGGUGAUGGAUGGGGAUGCGUCUGAUUAGCUUGUGGCGGGGUAACGGCCACCAAGGCUACGAUCAGUAGGGGUUCUGAGAGGAAGGUCCCCCACAUUGGAACUGAGACACGGUCCAAACUCCUACGGGAGGCAGCAGUGAGGAAUA
rnacentral:rRNA from 1 species